GUCACUGCUAUUGGGAUUCGACUAAGCCAUGCGAGUCGAGAGGGUUCGGCCCUCGGCAGACGGCUCAGUAACGCGUGGAUAAUCUAUCCUUAGGUGGAGGAUAAUCUCGGGAAACUGAGAAUAAUACUCCAUAGAUCUAGGAUGCUGGAAUGCACCUAGGUUGAAAGCUCCGGCGCCUAAGGGUGAGUCUGCGGACUAUCAGGCUGUAGUCAGGGUAAAGACCUGACUAACCUAUGACGGAUACGGGUUGUGAGAGCAAUAACCCGGAGACGAUAUCUGAGACACGAUAUCGGGCCCUACGGGGCGCAGCAGGCGCGAAACCUUCACACUGUGCGAAAGCGCGAUGAGGGAAUCCCAAGUGCUUGCACGUAAGUGUGAGCUGUUUCUGUGUUUAAAAAGCAUAGAGAGUAAGAGCUGGGUAAGACGGGUGCCAGCCGCCGCGGUAAUACCUGCGGCUCAAGUGGUGACCAUUAUUAUUGGGCCUAAAACGUUCGUAGCCGGUUUGGUAAAUGCCUGGGUAAAUCGAGCCGCUUAACGGUUCGAAUUCCGGGUAGACUGCCAGACUUGAGACCGGGAGAGGCUAGAGGUACUCCUGGGGUAGAGGUGAAAUUCUGUAAUCCUGGGGGGACCACCAGUGGCGAAGGCGUCUAGCUAGAACGGGUCUGACGGUGAGGGACGAAGCCCUGGGGCGCAAACCGGAUUAGAUACCCG
rnacentral:rRNA from 1 species